rnacentral:tRNA from 1 species
UCCCUGAUAGCUCAGUUGGUAAAGAAUUUGCCUGCAAUGCAAGAGACCCCAGUUUGAUACCUGGGUCAGGAA